GGUUAAGCGACUAAGCGUACACGGUGGAUGCCCUGGCAGUCAGAGGCGAUGAAGGGCGUGCUAAUCUGCGAUAAGCGCCGGUAAGGUGAUAUGAACCGUUAUAACCGGCGAUACCCGAAUGGGGAAACCCAGUGUGACUCGUCACACUAUCAUUAACUGAAUCCAUAGGUUAAUGAGGCGAACCGGGGGAACUGAAACAUCUAAGUACCCCGAGGAAAAGAAAUCAACCGAGAUUCCCCCAGUAGCGGCGAGCGAACGGGGAGGAGCCCAGAGCCUGAAUCAGCAUGUGUGUUAGUGGAAGCGUCUGGAAAGGCGCGCGAUACAGGGUGACAGCCCCGUACACAAAAGCGCAUGUGCUGUGAGCUCGAUGAGUAGGGCGGGACACGUGGUAUCCUGUCUGAAUAUGGGGGGACCAUCCUCCAAGGCUAAAUACUCCUGACUGACCGAUAGUGAACCAGUACCGUGAGGGAAAGGCGAAAAGAACCCCGGCGAGGGGAGUGAAAAAGAACCUGAAACCGUGUACGUACAAGCAGUGGGAGCACAGGUUUACCUGUGUGACUGCGUACCUUUUGUAUAAUGGGUCAGCGACUUAUAUUCUGUAGCAAGGUUAACCGAAUAGGGGAGCCGGAGGGAAACCGAGUCUUAAUUGGGCGUUAAGUUGCAGGGUAUAGACCCGAAACCCGGUGAUCUAGCCAUGGGCAGGUUGAAGGUUGGGUAACACUAACUGGAGGACCGAACCGACUAAUGUUGAAAAAUUAGCGGAUGACCUGUGGCUGGGGGUGAAAGGCCAAUCAAACCGGGAGAUAGCUGGUUCUCCCCGAAAGCUAUUUAGGUAGCGCCUCGUGAAUUCAUCUCCGGGGGUAGAGCACUGUUUCGGCUAGGGGGCCAUCCCGGCUUACCAACCCGAUGCAAACUGCGAAUACCGGAGAAUGUUAUCACGGGAGACACACGGCGGGUGCUAACGUCCGUCGUGAAGAGGGAAACAACCCAGACCGCCAGCUAAGGUCCCAAAGUCAUGGUUAAGUGGGAAACGAUGUGGGAAGGCCCAGACAGCCAGGAUGUUGGCUUAGAAGCAGCCAUCAUUUAAAGAAAGCGUAAUAGCUCACUGGUCGAGUCGGCCUGCGCGGAAGAUGUAACGGGGCUAAACCAUG
rnacentral:rRNA from 3 species